rnacentral:rRNA from 1 species
UACAGAGGGUGCGAGCGUUGUUCGGAAUUAUUGGGCGUAAAGCGCAUGUAGGCGGUCUGUUAAGUCGCGUGUGAAAUCCCCAGGCUCAACCUGGGAAGUGCGCGCGAAACUGGCGGACUUGAGUGCCGGAGAGGGUGGCGGAAUUCCCGGUGUAGAGGUGAAAUGCGCAGAUAUCAGGAGGAACACCAAUUGCGAAGGCAGCUCGCUGGGACGUUACUGACGCUGAGACGCGAAAGCGUGGGGAGCAAACAGG